rnacentral:rRNA from 1 species
AUUGAACGCUGGCGGCAGGCCUAACACAUGCAAGUCGAGCGAGCGGCGGACGGGUGAGUAAUGACUGGGAAACUGACUGAUGGAGGGGGAUAACUACUGGAAACGGUAGCUAAUACCGCAUACCAUCAGAUGUGCCCAGCGGGGAUUAGCUAGUAGGUGGGGUAACGGCUCACAUAGGCGACGAUCCCUAGCUGGUCUGAGAGGAGGACCAGCGACAGUGCAACUUAGACACGGUACAGACUCCUACGGGAGGCAGCAGGGGGUAAUAUUGCAAAAUGGGCGCAAGCCUGUUGCAGCCAUGCCGAGUGUGUGAAGAAGUCCUGCGGGUUUUACAGCACUUUCAGCGGGGAGGCGUUACCCGCAGAAGAAGCACCGGCUAACUCCGUGCCAGCAGCCGCGGUAAUAC